rnacentral:rRNA from 1 species
UGGGGAAUUUUGGACAAUGGGCGCAAGCCUGAUCCAGCCAUGCCGCGUGCGGGAAGAAGGCCUUCGGGUUGUAAUCCGCUUUUGUCAGGGAAGAAAUCUUCUGAGUUAAUACCUCGGGAGGAUGACGGUACCUGAAGAAUAAGCACCGGCUAACUACGUGCCAGCAGCCGCGGUAAUACGUAGGGUGCAAGCGUUAAUCGGAAUUACUGGGCGUAAAGCGUGCGCAGGCGGUUUUGUAAGACAGAGGUGAAAUCCCCGGGCUCAACCUGGGAACUGCCUUUGUGACUGCAAGGCUUGAGUGCGGCAGAGGGGGAUGGAAUUCCGCGUGUAGCAGUGAAAUGCGUAGAUAUGCGGAGGAACACCGAUGGCGAAGGCAAUCCCCUGGGCCUGCACUGACGCUCAUGCACGAAAGCGUGGGGAGCAAAACAGGAUUAGAUACCCUGGUAGUCCACGCCCUAAAACGAUGUCAACUGGUUGUUGGGAAGGUUCCUUCUCAGUAACGUAGCUAACGCGUGAAGUUGACCGCCUGGGGAGUACGGCCGCAAGGUUGAAAACUCAAAUGAAUUGACGGGGUCAUAGCUGUUUCCUG